rnacentral:misc_RNA from 1 species
UACGGAAGAUGCGAGCGUUAUCCGGAUUUAUUGGGUUUAAAGGGAGCGUAGGCGGCCUGUUAAGUCAGCGGUUAAAUGUCAGUGCCCAACAUUGGCAUGCCGUUGAUACUGGUGGGCUUGAAUACACACAAGGAUGGUGGAAUUCGUUGUGUAGCGGUGAAAUGCUUAGAUAUGACGAAGAACUCCGAUUGCGAAGGCAGCCAUCUGGGGUGCGAUUGACGCUGAGGCUCGAAAGUGCGGGAAUCAAACAGG